CAGCGAGUAACAAAACCGCAUUUGUUUCAUAAAUUUUGUCUUUUUAAUUAAAACUGGUUCCGUCGGUUUCCAGUUGACCCAAAACAUAAACUAGAUUUCCCUACCCAGCCUCCAAAACAACUCGCAUCCGAAAUCAAAAGCCAAUGCCCCGAUUUACAAGUCAGAGAUUCCGUUAGGCAUUCGUAUUCGUAUUCAUAUUCGUGUUGAGACUGGGGAUUCUGGGGUCUCCGCUUAGGCAGAAAACUCAUUCGAAUACCAGGAAUUAUUCACUGCUUGGGGCAUGACUCAUCCACGCACACUUGUUGAUGUCCCGCUCGCAGCUCAGCUUACUUAGUUGCGAAUCUCGGUUGCGGAAGCGUUUAUUAGAAGACUAGACCACACUUAUGACGCUGACUCAUCGACCUGCAACUGUCUCGAUCCUACCCACACCGAAUUUCAUCUUUAGCCCGGCGAACUGCAUCUCAAAGUAUGCAAAGCGAUGAAAGCCAAACCGAAAAGGUUAACUAUAAGAUCACAAUAAAGGAAUGACGAAAUGUAUAUUAUUGGAGGCACAUAUUCACUUUCAUCUUUUUUAAGAGAAGUCGCAACUUGACAAUGAAUUCACUUCCAUCUAUUUUUAGAAACAUCCAAGGAACUAUGUGCUCUAUGAGAUGGAGCAUGCGUGGGUAAUAAACAUGAAACGCUUAUUUGGCACGCGAUCCACAGAUGUCGAACUUUGACAGAAGCACUUUGAUGGUUGGGUCAACACAAUUAAGCCUAAUCAUCGAUGCGAGAGGGCCUCGACUUGGGGUUAAGUGAUAUUCCCUCGGUGCUUCGUUUUGUGCUUUCUGAUUCUGCAUAAGUGGAAUCUUUGAGCUGGAAGCACAUGCAAAUCGCCACUUUAUUUGUUAUACAUUUGAUUGAUGGAAAUUCAGCCACCGAGAAGGCAUUUAAACAAAUUAUAUUCCAAUUUUGCCGGAAUGACGUUACCAAAUUUGAUUCGGAUGAGUUCGUGCCUGCAAAAAGGCAACGAAAAUCCGCAAAUAGAAACGGGUUUUUUCGGCCAAUUUAGUAAACAAAUCCAGCUGAACAAUCGGCUAUUAGGUAGCCACCAGCAGCCAGCGCCAAAAUCGGGGAGCAACAACGCAACCAACUAAACAGCCACUUUUGUUUUGGCCCCUUCGGACGCGUUUUAAGUUAUUAUAAACAAACAGCUUCGAGCACUGUUUUAGUGAGUACAGGAAAGUGCAAAUAAUUAAGUCCCAAUGCUGCCGAAUUUUUCUAUUUAUACGCGCAGCUGAUUAAGCAAUGCCGAGGAGGGAAAUUCGUGAAUGAGUGGCAUUCCGCUGUGCAAACUUGUGGAUUAAAAAACAGGUGCGGGAGCAGUCGAGGCCUUUCCAGGAAGGCCCAGUGAGUGCCAAUAGCCCCGAGCCACCCUGCACGGUGCAUCAUAACUUGUUCGGCUGUAUCAGCUCUACAGCGUCGGGCGGGGCGGAAGCUGUUAUCGAAGAGCUCGGCUCGAAAUUAAUACACACAAUAAAUUAUUUAAACAUAA